GACAGAGGGUGCAAACGUUGUUCGGAAUUACUGGGCGUAAAGCGUGUGUAGGCGGCCGCGCAAGUCGGAUGUGAAAUCCCCGGGCCCAACCCGGGAAGGGCACCCGAAACUGCACGGCUUGAGUACCGGAGAGGUUGGUGGAAUUCUCGGUGUAGAGGUGAAAUUCGUAGAUAUCGAGAGGAACACCGGUGGCGAAGGCGGCCAACUGGACGAGUACUGACGCUGAGACACGAAAGCGUGGGGAGCAAACAGG
rnacentral:rRNA from 1 species